UACGGAGGGGGCGAGCGUUAUUCGGAAUUAUUGGGCGUAAAGGGCGCGUAGGCGGCCCGGUAAGUCAAAGGUGAAAUCCCUCGGCUCAACUGAGGAACUGCCUUUGAAACUGUCGGGCUCGAGGCCGGGAGGGGGUGGCGGAAUUCCCAGUGUAGCGGUGAAAUGCGUAGAUAUUGGGAGGAACACCAGUGGCGAAGGCGGCCACCUGGACCGGUUCUGACGCUGAUGCGCGAAAGCGUGGGUAGCAAACAGG
rnacentral:rRNA from 1 species